UACGUAGGGACCAAGCGUUGUUCGGAUUUACUGGGCGUAAAGGGCGCGUAGGCGGCGCGGUAAGUCACUUGUGAAAUCUCUGAGCUUAACUCAGAACGGCCAAGUGAUACUGCAGUGCUAGAGUGUGGAAGGGGCAAUCGGAAUUCUUGGUGUAGCGGUGAAAUGCGUAGAUAUCAAGAGGAACACCUGAGGUGUAGACGGGUUGCUGGGCCAACACUGACGCUGAGGCGCGAAAGCCAGGGGAGCAAACGGG
rnacentral:rRNA from 1 species